rnacentral:rRNA from 1 species
UACGUAGGUGGCAAGCGUUGUCCGGAUUUACUGGGCGUAAAGGGCGUGCAGGCGGUUUGCUAAGUGCAGGGUGAAAGCUCCCGGCUCAACUGGGAGAGGUCCUUGCAUACUGGCAAACUCGAGGGAGGCAGAGGAAAGUGGAAUUCCCGGUGUAGUGGUGAUAUGCGUAGAUAUCGGGAGGAACACCUGUGGCGAAGGCGGCUUUCUGGGCCUUACCUGACGCUGAGACGCGAAGGCGUGGGGAGCGAACGGG